rnacentral:misc_RNA from 1 species
GCAAAUCUAUAAUUUUGACAUCUCCAAUUUCCCCUAUGCCCUUAACAGAAGUAGUAACAGAGGUCAUAUCAAAAUCAUCUGUGAAAGGAAUGAAUGCACCAUCUGCCCUGACAAAUGUCUCUGGAUUUAUGCCAGCAAAUAUGCCAUACCAAAGGUCGUCUCUGAUAAAAGAUGUAGCUCUCUCCACUGAACCCAGAUAUACUCCAGGUCCUAAUGUUGGAGGUAAAGGAUGAAACAUUUUUUGAUUUGGGUAAUCUAAGUCAACAGCAACAUGCCGGUUUGUUAGGAAACCAACUUGUCGAUUGCCUGACAGACUCCUCACAAUAGCGCCCAAGGUUCCAUAUGUCUCCUGGCUUGCUACCUGAGAUCCUGAACCAAUAUAUGGGUCACUACCCCGCAGGUCAUCGACUAUCUCUGUGUACAACUGCUCCUUGGGUGUUGGCUCUGGUGCACCAAAAUAGGAGAACUCGACCACAUCCACUUCACACCACACACCUCCAGGGCCCUCUAAAGCAGUAGGUAGACACUGGAUUGGACUAAGCCAUUGUUUGUGAACUUUCCGGGAUACAAACACUAGUAUUGCUGGUAUAUCAGUCAAAACACCACGUCGAAUACGAAAACCAAUUGCUGUACCGAGACUGUAGCAACGCAAGAGUUUGCUAUGAGAUGCCCUUAUAGUCAUGAGGUCAAGUAAGGUUGUUGCUCGCUGCCCCUCGGGCAAUCGGCCAAGAGUUUCUGGCAAAACCCCUUUCUGAAGAUUUCCGAAAUAGUUUGCUCUCUCUUCAGCAGCAUCAUUUAGCCGACUAGGCCAGGAGAAGUAUGCAGCAUUACUCUCAGAGUGUUGUCCAGCCGAUGCAUAAGGUUGAAGUGUUGGUGGACUAAGUGAAGGAAGAUUAGAAUAACUGCAACAGUAUUUUUCAAGAUCUAAGGCUGACUCCUCUGACGGUGUUGAACCUGAGCAAUGGGUUCUUUUAUUUAACCUUGCUCGAUCCAUAUUUCUCACACAAGCAGCCUAAACUCGAUAUGAAAUUGGGAAAGGAAAACAAAAGGCUGCAAACAUAGUCAAACCCACGCUACGCCAUGAGAGGC